UACGAAGGGGGCUAGCGUUGCUCGGAAUCACUGGGCGUAAAGCGCACGUAGGCGGAUCCUUAAGUCGGGGGUGAAAUCCUGGAGCUCAACUCCAGAACUGCCUUCGAUACUGAGGAUCUCGAGUCCGGGAGAGGUGAGUGGAACUGCGAGUGUAGAGGUGAAAUUCGUAGAUAUUCGCAAGAACACCAGUGGCGAAGGCGGGUCUCUGGGCCGAUACUGACGCUGAGGAGCGAAAGCGUGGGGAGCGAACAGG
rnacentral:rRNA from 1 species